UACGUAGGGUGCAAGCGUUAAUCGGAAUUACUGGGCGUAAAGCGUGCGCAGGCGGUUUUGUAAGACAGGUGUGAAAUCCCCGGGCUCAACCUGGGAACUGCAUUUGUGACUGUAGAGCUGGAGUACGGCAGAGGGGGAUGGAAUUCCGCGUGUAGCAGUGAAAUGCGUAGAUAUGCGGAGGAACACCGAUGGCGAAGGCAAUCCCCUGGGCCUGUACUGACGCUCAUGCACGAAAGCGUGGGGAGCAAACAGG
rnacentral:rRNA from 1 species